AUUGAACGCUGGCGGCAGGCCUAACACAUGCAAGUCGAACGAGUGGCGGACGGGUGAGUAAUGUCUGGGAAACUGCCUGAUGGAGGGGGAUAACUACUGGAAACGGUAGCUAAUACCGCAUACCAUCGGAUGUGCCCAGAUGGGAUUAGCUAGUAGGUGGGGUAACGGCCCACCUAGGCGACGAUCCCUAGCUGGUCUGAGAGGAUGACCAUCCAAACUGGAACUGAGAACCGGUCCUGAUUCCUAUGGGGGGCAGCGUUGGGGAACAUGGCACAAGGGGGGAAAGCCUGAUGCAGCCAGGCCGCGGGUAUGAAAAAGGCCUUCGGGUUGUAAAGUCCUUUCAGCGAGGAGGCGUUACUCGCACAAGAAGCACCGGCUAACUCCGUGCCAGCAGCCGCGGUAAUAC
rnacentral:rRNA from 1 species